rnacentral:misc_RNA from 1 species
GAAAGAUAGGAGGGAUGUAAGCAGGGUUAACAGUAACAGAAAGCUUAUUGAUACUGAAGCCAACUGUGUCGCAAGAUCUGUUCUUUUGUUUAAUUUCUGCCCAUAAAACGAAACACCCAGCAACAAAGUAGUCUGGACAUAAGAUAUACCAUAGGCAACAAGAUUUUAAACAAAAAUUGAAGAAUAGUACUGCACAAAGCAUGUCUUAGAUGCAAUCCCAGCAGAAAUAUGGUGAUAUUCUUGUAUUAAUCACUGGUCAAUCAGCAAUUAUGAAAAAAAUCAUCAGUGACUAAACACUUAAACCUUUAAACCAAAUCACAAUACAGAUAAAAAUGGG